CAGUCGAACGGGCGUAGCAAUACGUCAGUGGCAGACGGGUGAGUAACGCGUGGGAACAUACCCUCCGGUUCGGAAUAACUCAGGGAAACUUGAGCUAAUACUGGAUACGGCUGAGAGGCGAAAGAUUGAUUUGCCGGAGGAUUGGCCCGCGUUCGAUUAGCUAGUUGGUGAGGUAACGGCUCACCAAGGCGACGAUCGAUAGCUGGUCUGAGAGGAUGAUCAGCCACAUUGGGACUGAGACACGGCCCAAACUCCUACGGGAGGCAGCAGUGGGGAAUAUUGGACAAUGGGCGCAAGCCUGAUCCAGCCAUGCCGCGUGAGUGAUGACGGCCUUAGGGUUGUAAAGCUCUUUCGCUCGGGACGAUAAUGACGGUACCGAGAUAAGAAGCCCCGGCUAACUUCGUGCCAGCAGCCGCGGUAAUACGAAGGGGGCUAGCGUUGUUCGGAAUUACUGGGCGUAAAGCGCGUGUAGGCGGGUCUUUAAGUCAGGGGUGAAAUGCCAAGGCUCAACCUUGGAACUGCCUUUGAUACUGGAGAUCUUGAGUCCGGGAGAGGUGAGUGGAACUGCGAGUGUAGAGGUGAAAUUCGUAGAUAUUCGCAAGAACACCAGUGGCGAAGGCGGCUCACUGG
rnacentral:rRNA from 1 species